rnacentral:rRNA from 1 species
GACGAACGCUGGCGGCGUGCUUAACACAUGCAAGUCGAGCGGUAAGGCCCUUUCGGGGGUACACGAGCGGCGAACGGGUGAGUAACACGUGGGUGACCUGCCCUCAGCUCUGGGAUAAGCCUGGGAAACCGGGUCUAAUACUGGAUAUGACUCCAUGACGCAUGUUGUGGGGUGGAAAGCCUUGUGCGGCUGAGGAUGGGCCCGCGGCCUAUCAGCUUGUUGGUGGGGUGANGGCCUACCAAGGCGACGACGGGUAGCCGGCCUGAGAGGGCGACCGGCCACACUGGGACUGAGACACGGCCCAGACUCCUACGGGAGGCAGCAGGUGGGGAAUCUUGCGCAAGUGGGACGAAAGCCUGACGCAGCGACGCCGCGUGAGGGAUGAC